UCGGGAAUCAUUCGCAAUGGGCGAAAGCCUGACCCAGCAACGCCGCGUGAAGGAUGAAGUAUUUCGGUAUGUAAACUUCGAAAGAAUAGGAAGAAUAAAUGACGGUACUAUUUAUAAGGUCCGGCUAACUACGUGCCAGCAGCCGCGGUAAUACGUAGGGACCAAGCGUUGUUCGGAUUUAUUGGGCGUAAAGGGCGCGUAGGCGGCAAUUCAAGUCAUCUGUGAAAUCUCCGGGCUUAACUCGGAACGGUCAGAUGAUACUGCUUUGCUAGAGUGCAGAAGGGGCAAUCGGAAUUCUUGGUGUAGCGGUGAAAUGCGUAGAUAUCAAGAGGAACACCUGAGGUGAAGACGGGUUGCUGGGCUGACACUGACGCUGAGGCGCGAAAGCCAGGGGAGCAAACGGGAUUAGAUACCCGAGUAGUCCCUGAGCGGGCUGGCAAGGCGCAU
rnacentral:rRNA from 1 species